UCAAAAACCCCAAACCCAUGUUUUAAAAUUUUAAAGAGAGCAUCCUCGGAGCUCUUUCCCGCUCUUCCACGCCGAAGCUCAUUGUCGGUGGCGGCGGAGCUCCUAUACUGAAACUAAAUACAUAAAACCUUAUGUAUCAACCCCUAGAUCAUGAAUCCCAAGACCAUAGUUACUAAAACCCAACCAAUAAGCCUAAUUGAAAGAGAAAUCACAAGAACCCUAGCUAUAGAAUCGAAAAUUAAAUGAUGGAAUGACACAAAACUAAACAAUUGAUUUUGGGUUUUUGAUCCUCAAGUGGAGCUCUACCUUAUGGUAACUCUUGUUUGAUGAAAUGGGUGAGCUCGAGUUGUUGCCUCGUCGGAGAAGAUGACCAGAGCAAAACAAACGACAACAAAUUGUUUUAGGUUGGUAGGGAGCAUGGAGCUCGAAGCAAGAACCAUGGUGCAUUGGAUUAAUGAUUGAUGAUGAAUGAUGAUGCAGGGAGUGUUGAUGGGCUGCUUAUGAAUGUUUUGCAGGUGAUUUGUUUUAUGGAUGCAAGGUUGAUGUGAUGCAUUGUUGUAGGCAUAUUAUGGUUGGUCUGAUGAUGGAUGCAAGGCUGUUAUGACUGAUGUAGCUUGAAGGUGCUUCUCAUUGUUGUGCAGGCUUGUUUAAUGAUGGAUGGAAGGAUGAUGUGGAAUGCUGCAGGCCCAAUAUGAGCUCAAUAUAGUAUGGUCAAUUAAGGUAUAUGGUGCAUGGAAACCUCAUGGUAAGGGCUGCCACUCAAAGCAAGAUGUUUUAUGUUUUUCCUUUUGAUUCAAACCCAUGUGUUGCAACAUGUAGUAUGCCAUGUAAUUAUCAUAGGAUAUAAUAUGAUUAAUGCUUAUAAUGAAAUGAGUUCAUGGAUGAUUCAUGUACCAUGCUUAUGUAUGUAACAUGCCUGUGUAAUGGGAAAAAAAACUCACUUACAAUGAUUAUGUAAACAUGCUCAUGAAAUGGAAAAUGCAUGUAUGUAAACUCAAAUUGAUGAUUCAAAGU